GUCUACGGCCAUGCCACCCUGAAUGAGUCCCAUCUCUUCUGAUCUUGGAAGCAAAGUGGGGUCAGGCCUGGUUGGUACUAGACAGGAGAAAGCAGACUGUGGCUC
rnacentral:rRNA from 1 species